rnacentral:tRNA from 1 species
GGAGAAGUAGCUCAGUUUGGUAGAGCACUCGGUUUGGGACCGAGCGGUCGCAGGUUCAAAUCCUGUCUUCUUCA